rnacentral:rRNA from 1 species
UACAGAGGGGGCAAGCGUUGUUCGGAAUUACUGGGCGUAAAGGGCGCGUAGGCGGCCUACUAAGUCGGACGUGAAAUCCCCGGGCUCAACCCGGGAACUGCGUCCGAUACUGGAAGGCUUGAAUCCGGGAGAGGGAUGCGGAAUUCCAGGUGUAGCGGUGAAAUGCGUAGAUAUCUGGAGGAACACCGGUGGCGAAGGCGGCAUCCUGGACCGGCAUUGACGCUGAGGCGCGAAAGCCAGGGGAGCAAACAGG